UGGGGGAUAUUGCACAAUGGGGGAAACCCUGAUGCAGCGACGCCGCGUGAGGGAAGAAGGUUUUCGGAUUGUAAACCUCUGUCUUCGGGGAAGAAACAAAUGACGGUACCCGAGGAGGAAGCCACGGCUAACUACGUGCCAGCAGCCGCGGUAAUACGUAGGUGGCGAGCGUUGUCCGGAAUUACUGGGUGUAAAGGGAGCGUAGGCGGGCGACAGGGUCAAAUGUUAAAACUAUGGGCUCAACUCAUAGUCGCGUUUGAAACCGGUCGUCUUGAGUGCAGUAGAGGUAGGCGGAAUUCCUAGUGUAGCGGUGAAAUGCGUAGAUAUUAGGAGGAACACCAGUGGCGAAGGCGGCCUACUGGGCUGUAACUGACGCUGAGGCUCGAAAGUGUGGGGAGCAAACA
rnacentral:rRNA from 1 species